rnacentral:rRNA from 1 species
GACGGAGGAUGCAAGCGCUAUCCGGAAUGAUUGGGCGUACAGCGUUCGCAGGUGGCUGUUCAAGUCUGCUGUCAAAGACCGGGGCUUAACCCCAGAAAGGCAGUGGAAACUGAACGGCUGGAGUGCAGAUCGCGUAGAGGGAAUUCCCAGUGUAGCGGUGAAAUGCGUAGAGAUUGGGAAGAACACCGGUGGCGAAAGCGCUCUGCUGGACUGCAACUGACACUGAGGGACGAAAGCUAGGGGAGCGAAAGGG